GUGCUCACUUUGGUAGCACAUAGACUAAAAUUGGAACGAUCCAGAGAAGAUUAAUAUGGCCCUGGCACAAGGAUGAUAUGCAAGUUCAUGAAGUGUCCCAUUUUUUU
ensembl:snRNA U6 U6 spliceosomal RNA